GUAUGGUGUGGUAAAUUAAGUUUUGGAGUUGAUUUCUUAGAUGGUUGUGAUUUUUCACUGCUAAGUAAGUGCGAUCUCACUAAACCAUUAUUGUUUUAUAAUUGUUACAAUUAUGGGUGAAUGAUUAACAUAAAUUGUUAUUUAGUAACUUAACUUUUAUUUUUAUGUAAUUUUCACUAAAUAAUGAUAGAUUUAGGCAUUAAAUUGUUAUAAUAAUGGUUCAUUGAUGUGUGUUACAUUGCACUUUAAAAUGAAUGAAAGAAAAUUGAUAUUUCAUACAUUUAACCAUAUUUAAAUCAAUGAAAAUAUGAUAUUGUUUCUUGUGGUUAAUUUUUUUAUAUAUUUACAAGGUGUGUGCGCGUGACAUAUUCAAAUACUAUUUUAACCAGGGCCACCAUUAGAUAAUCGAUUUUGGAUGUUGACGUGUCUGGACAGUGGAACUUGGAUGGUUGUUUCAUCGUCUGUGUAUAUGUGUGGUUAUUUAAAAACAAUCAUGGAGCCUUUGAAUUUGAGAAUUUCAAGAAAUUAUGUUGGAUUAUAAUGAGGAAAGUGAUGAAUUUUUUAUUUCAUUGUAAUUAAAAAGAAAAUAUUUUUUUGUUGGAUUGAAUAGGAUCGAUCAUUCUUGAAAGAACGUGAUUUUGUAGAGUUACGAUGUUAAUGGUGUGUUUAUAUUGUGAAAAUUGGAAUGGAAAUAAUUUCUAA